ensembl:lncRNA
CCUCCCACGUGUAGCUGAUGGGUCACCCGGCGUGCUCUGCCUCCCAAGCAGCCAUGGGGAGCUGGGAACCCAGGGGCCUUAGAACUGGAAGCUCAGCCCUGUCACUUAGAGGCUGUGUGACCUUGGACAAGGCCUAACCUCACAGAACCUUGGUUUCCUUGCCAGUAGAUGGAGCUAAGAAUGCUGACCUCAGGAGUUUAUGUGUGCAGCGUGCUAAGUCGCUUCAGUCCUGUCUGACUCUUUGGAACCCCAUGGACUGUAGCCCGCCAGGCUCCUCUGUCCAUGGGAUUCUCCAGGCAAGGACACUGGAGUGGGUUGCAGUGCCCUCCUCCAGGGGAUCUUCCCGACCAGGGAUUGAACCCAAGUCUCUUACAUCUCCUGAAUUGGCAGAAGGUCAUGUGACAAUAGGAGCAGAGACGGGUGACGCAGCUGCUAAUCAAGGAUUGAGACCACCACCAGACGCUAAGAGAAGGGCAGGGAAGGAUGUGACCCACAGGCUCAGAGGGAGUAUAGCCCCACUGAUACCCUGAUUUCACACUUCUGGCCUCCAGAAUGAUUUGGUGGCCACUCUAUAUGUGCUGCUGCUGCUGCUGCUAAGUCGCCUCAGUCGUGUCCGACUCUGUGCGACCCCAGAGACAGCAGCCCACUAGGCUCCUCUGUUCCUGGGAUUCUCCAGGCAAGAACACUGGAGUGGGUUGCCAUUUCCUUCUCCAAUGCAUGAAAGUGAAAAGUGAAUGUGAAGUCGCUCAGUCGUGUCCAACUCUUAGCGACCCCAUGGACUGCGGCCUACCAGGUUCCUCUGCUAGAUGUUUUUAAAUACGUUAUCUUCUUAAAUCUUUCCUGUUGUCCUGUAAGGUUUGCCUUGAAAAUGAAAGUCACUCGGUCAUGUGCGACUCUUUGUGACCCCAUGGACUUAGUCCAUGGAAUUCACCAGGCCAGAAUGCUGGAGUGAGUAAGCCUUUCCCCUUCUCCGGGGGACCUUCUCAACCCAGGGAUCGAAUCCAGGUCUCCCACAUUGCAGGCGGAUUCUUUACCAGCUGAUCCACAAAGGAAACCCACGAAUACUGGAGUGGGUAGCCUAUCCCUUGGCCAGGGGAUCUUCCCUACCCAGGAAUCGAACUGGGGUCUCCUGCGUUGCAGGCGGAUUCUUUACCAACUGAGCUAUGAGGGAAGCCCUAGGUUUGCUUUAGAAGCUCCAUUUCACUAAAAAGAAAACAAAGAAUCAGAGAGGUUAAGUUACCUCUCCGAGGUCACACAGCUUGUAAGGGCCAGGGUCAA